GACCUCAGAUCACGCAAGACUACCCGCUGAAUUUAAGCAUAUUAAUA
rnacentral:rRNA from 2 species